rnacentral:rRNA from 1 species
CAAUAGCGUAUAUUUAAGUUGUUGCAGUUAAAAAGCUCGUAGUUGGAUUUCUGCUGAUCGCUGUCGGUCUGCCGUCAGGUGUAUACUGGCAGUGUUUGGCAUCUAUUCGAGAUUGGGUGUCCACUUGAUUGUGUGCACUCGAUGUCGGAGCUAAUACUUUGAGAAAAUUAGAGUGUUCCACGCAGGCGCGUGCCUUGAAUACUGCAGCAUGGGAUAUUGGAAGGCCGAUUGAGCUUUCUUGUUGGUUCUCGGUUUGAUCGGAAUGAUUAAUAGGGAUAGUUGGGGGCAUUCGUAUUCAACUGUCAGAGGUGAAAUUCUUGGAUUUGUUGAAGACGGACUACUGCGAAAGCAUCUGCCAUGGAUGUUCUCAUUGA